UUCAUAUAUUUUUUUCCGAUUGAAGUUAAAGCGAUGCUGUAAUUUUGCUGUAAAAAUUUUUACCAACAAGAAUAAUUUUAGCUUGUCUCAACUCAAAGUAUAAAAACAAAACCCUUUGUUUUGUCUAAUACACUUUUCUGAUCGUUUGCAACUUUGCUCAAUUGAGUAGUGAUUGUGCUAUUGUUUGCGAGUUACGCCUCGUAUGACGUAUGUGGCUUGGGGGUUGCGAAAUUUCCUGCGAUCAUCUUGAAUAGUCGUCACCUUCGAAAUUUCCUAAAUUUUUUCAAAUGAGGUUGAACUCGAAAAAUCAAUACCGAAACCCACAAUGUUCAAGGGUAAAUGAAAAAGUAAGCGAAACCAGCAACAACAUUUAGUUUUCUUAGAUUAAUUUAGGCAUUUAUACUUUAUCCAUGAAGCACUGCGGGCUACAACAAGUCGAUACUAGAGAGCGAACUUAUUUUAAAUGGGUAUGUAGGCUACAUCCAAACAAAUUACAACAUCAAUAAAAAAAAAUCGGUAACUCAAACUCGAGUAAUUCGAACGGAUGUUAAGCAUAGUUCUAAGAGGAGUAUCUCUACUUUCUAUUUUUGAGUAAUUAAUUACUCGUUUAACCCGGACUCCAUGCCAACCCGUACCUGUUUCCACCUCCUUUUAUUUAAUGUAUUUUCCAUUUUUUGAUACCCAGGAGGUAGAGGUUACCUGGGCUUAUGGAUUUCCCAGUGGCAUGCAACGUUAGUUGAAUAUGGGGUAAUUUUGUUGCUGAAAAAAGAGUGCUUUGUUUGUUGUAUAUCAGUGAUUUUAUGUCACGGUUGUGGCAUUGCUUCAAUGUCACGCUAUAGUAACGCCAAUAAAGCAAUACCAUUAAGCUAGCCUCUUAACAUUAGCAAAACUAUUUGUUUUCAAAAAGAGGCGUAAAACAUAUAUUGUGUUGACUCAUAUCCCUAAUUUCACAACACCUUCGCAGCAAGACAAAGACUGCAGAUGCAACGUGAUGACGUAAGCUUCUGCAUGCCAUCAGCAUUCCAGCACGCCUUGCCGUGCUACGCUUCAUCGAAUUCUUGCAUACAUUGGACUUCAUUUUUGGUAGUAAACUUUUGCAUGCUUUCUAGUUCAGUUUUACGUUAUUUUAUCAAAACAUACAAAUCUUAUAACUUAAAAAAUCUUUGACAAAACUGUCCUUUUGCACCCUUAUUUCCCUUCAAAAGUUUAUAUCUCCAGAACAUAUAAAUAUACCAACGCAUAGAACUAUUUCCGGCUGCACCGGAGAAGCUGUGUAUCGUAACCCGCAGUGCUUCAUGGGUAUCAAGUAAAUAAGCAAAUAAAAGUAAAUAAAAUACUAAUCCAGGCUUCAAAAGCUGUAGAAUUCUUGUUCGUGCUCUUAUAGAUAUUCACAUGGCUUUCAGAUACCAGGAUUCAGCCAUUCUACGUUGCCCAUGGAGCCCGCGGGUUACAUGAAUGACAUACGAAACUCGAAACAAGUCAUU